rnacentral:rRNA from 1 species
GACGAACGCUGGCGGCGUGCUUAACACAUGCAAGUCGAACGGAAAGGCCUUUUCGUUGGUCCUCGAGUGGCGAACGGGUGCGUAACACGUGGGUGAUCUUCCCUUCACUCUGGGAUAAGCCUGGGUACCUGGGUCUAAUACCGGUUCGGACUGCUCUUUUGUGUGUGUGGUGUCAAGUUUUUUCGGUGUUGGAUGAGUCCGCUAGCUAUCAGCUUGCUGGUGGUGUAAUGGCCUACCAAGGCGGCGGCGGGUAGCCGGACUGAGCGGUUGAUCGGCCACAUUGGGACUGAGGGACGGCACAGACAGCGAAGGGAGGGAGAAGGGGGGAAGACUGAACAAGGGGCGCAAGCCUGAUGCAGAGAGGCCGCGGGGGGGAAGACGGUCUUAGGGUUGAAAAAUAAAUGCGCCAGGGACGAAGCGUGUUGUGACGGUACCUGGAGAAGAAGCACCGGCUAACUACGUG